rnacentral:rRNA from 1 species
CCUACGGGUGGCUGCAGUCGAGAAUCAUUCACAAUGGGGGAAACCCUGAUGGUGCGACGCCGCGUGGGUAAAUGAAGGUCUUCGGAUUGUAAACCCCUGUCAUGUGGGAGCAAAUUAAAAAGAUAGUACCACAAGAGGAAGAGACGGCUAACUCUGUGCCAGCAGCCGAGGUAAUACAGAGGUCUCAAGCGUUGUUCGGAAUCACUGGGCGUAAGGCGUGCGUAGGCUGUUUCGUAAGUCGUGUGUGAAAGGCGCGGGCUCAACCCGCGGACGGCACAUGAUACUGCGAGACUAGAGUAAUGGAGGGGGAACCGGAAUUCUCGGUGUAGCAGUGAAAUGCGUAGAUAUCGAGAGGAACACUCGUGGCGAAGGCGGGUUCCUGGACAUUAACUGACGCUGAGGCACGAAGGCCAGGGGAGCGAAAGGGAUUAGAUACCCUGGUAGUC